rnacentral:rRNA from 1 species
CGCGAAAGUGGAGCAAUCCAUGAGUAGAGUGGCGAACGGGUGAGUAACACGUGGGUGACCUACCCUCGAGUGGGGGAUAACAUCCCGAAAGGGGUGCUAAUACCGCAUGACAUCCUGCCUUUGAACAGGCGGACAUUAAAGCCGGGGAUCGCAAGACCUGGCGCUCGUGGAGGGGCCCGCGCCCGAUUAGCUAGUUGGUGAGGUAAUGGCUCACCAAGGCUACGAUCGGUAUCCGGCCUGAGAGGGCGGACGGACACACUGGGACUGAGACACGGCCCAGACUCCUACGGGAGGCAGCAGUGGGGAAUUGUUCGCAAUGGGCGAAAGCCUGACGACGCAACGCCGCGUGGAGGAUGAAGAUCUUCGGGUCGUAAACUCCUUUCGAUCGGGACGAAUGAUCGGUGACCUAAUACGUCAUCGGAAUGACGGUACCGAGAGAAGAAGCCCCGGCUAACUCCGUGCCAGCAGCCGCGGUAAUACGGGGGGGGCAAGCGUUGUUCGGAAUUACUGGGCGUAAAGGGCGCGUAGGCGGCCUUCUAAGUCGGACGUGAAAUCCCUCGGCUUAACCGAGGAACUGCGUCUGAUACUGGAAGGCUUGAAUCCGGGAGAGGGAUGUGGAAUUCCAGGUGUAGCGGUGAAAUGCGUAGAUAUCUGGAGGAACACCGGUGGCGAAGGCGGCAUCCUGGACCGGCAUUGACGCUGAGGCGCGAAAGCUAGGGGAGCAAACGGGAUUAGAUACCCCGGUAGUCCUAGCCCUAAACGAUGAGUGCUUGGUGUGGCGGGUAUCGAUCCCUGCCGUG